rnacentral:rRNA from 1 species
GACGGAAGGUGCAAGCGUUGCUCGGAAUCACUGGGCGUAAAGGGUGCGUAGGCGGCCGUGCAAGUCUGGCGUGAAAGCCCCGGGCUCAGCCCGGGAAGUGCGCUCGAAACUGCGCGGCUCGAGUGCCGGAGGGGAGAGUGGAAUUCCUGGUGUAGCGGUGAAAUGCGUAGAUAUCAGGAGGAAUACCGGUGGCGAAAGCGGCAUCCUGGACCGGCAUUGACGCUGAGGCGCGAAAGCCAGGGGAGCAAACGGG